CCAUAAAAAACAACCAACCAUACUAUUUCACGGAGACUUUUUGAUGGUUAAAUACUCAUCCAUAUAUAUAGUAUAGUUUUUAUUAAUUAUCUGAUUCAACAUCAAAGACAUAACCCAAAACACAAACCACUUCUAACCCUAACAAACAUAGUAAUUAACCAACAUAAUCAACCCUUCAAGGGGAGAACCACCACUUGAUCAACAAUAGGACCACAGAGGGAAACAAAGUCAUCUUUCCUAGUAUGGUACUGAGAGCUAAAGAACGUGACCCUAGUCCUGUUCGAAAUCGCCUUGAACUUAAACGACACCGUCUUGAACUCCCCUUUGCCCUUCGACUCGAACGGGACCGUGAACCUCUCCCUGGCUGCGAACGCCACCACGGUCAUGGACCCGUGGCACUCGUUCCUCCCGUCUCCCACCGUGAACCUGAGGUUGUACAGUUUUGUAGCGACGGUGCGGAUGAUCUGAGCGAUGGCGCUCUCCCUCCCGGCAACCAGCUCGACUGCUGAUUGGCCGAAGGGGACGUUGUAGUACUUGGCGUCUAUGUACUUGACGGCCUUCAAUGACUCGAUGAUCCACCCGGGGAGCGGGGAGACUUUGUCUUCUUGGUUUGGCGGGAGGAGGAUGCCGUUUGAGCUGUUGAGUUGUGGCCUUCGCGGGCCUUCCUCGAACCCUGGGUUCUUCACCAAGUUCACUGUGUUGAGUCGAAUCCGGAGUUAGUACUCAUACAUGAUAAAUGAAAAGAUAGAUCGAGACAAACAAUACAAAUGAUUUUGUAAGCCCUUAUUGGCAAAAUUUAUGGGCAUAUGAUCAUGGCGACGGAAGCUUCACUAUGAUAAGAGAAUUACGACUCCUAAGGAUUUAGAAUGAAAAAUUACUAAACAAUAUUGACACUAUGAAUCAAAUAAUAUGCAAACAUACAUCUAGUGGGAUGAGGAGGGAAGAGCUCCCUAAUACCAACGGCAUCAAUAAGAGGACCACAAGCUGGAUCAUCCUGCGUUCCAGGGUUAUGGAACACCACCUUCGCUUCCUUCCCUCUCGCCCUGAACCCCCAAGCGUAGGUGUCCCCGCCGUUGCUGCAGUACAAUGUCUGCAGCGGCAGGUCCCCACUCUGCCCAGGGACAGCAACCCGGAGGACCUCGUUCUGCGCGCACGUCCUCGACGCGACGAAGGACAGCGCGUAGAGCGAUCCGGGUUUCAAGUUGGGUAUGGUCUGGGAAACAGAAGCAUCGUUCCCUAGCCUGACCGCGUGGACCCCAUGUGCCACGGGAAAGAACAUGCCUCCUGGUUGGGGUCCACCGGAGAUGAACUCUACCAAGCCAUUGGUUUCCCAUCCCGGGAUAGAGUUCUUGCCCUUGACUACCGUUUUCACCAUGUCGCUCGGCUUUGGAGCCUGCUCGAAGUUCCCGUUUCGUAGCAGCCCUGUUAUCGUAACCGAACCGGAUUAGCAAAUGUUUAAAUCCCAACCUCUAAAACAAUCAUUUCAAGAUUUCGUCACAAAUCAAAUAAAAAUAAGUACCAUAUGUACAAAAAUCAAUCAAAAUAACAAGUAGUAAUCCAAGUUUCAUUAUUAUUCAAAUCAUGAUUCAUAUUCACAAGUUAUAUGAAGCUCACUUUCGAAUUGAACGUAAAACACCGCAGAAAUCGACACGAACGAUUCCAACAAUUUUGGAGGUUGUAAUGGUUCAACUACAUCAACCCAGUAGAUUUUUCAGAAAGGUUGUUUUAACUUUUAAGGAACCAAACCGGCUUGACAGACCGUCUAGGGUUUUUCUCGAUCGCACCGGGAUGUCUAGUCCAGUCCUAUUCUAACAACCCUCGAAACCUUACUGUGAACUCGAUCUAGCAUCUCAACAAACAAUAAUUAUUUUUUCGGUUGAACAUAAAACUUCAUUCCAUAAGCAGACACGGAAAAAGGGGAAUAUUAUUAGAAAUUUUGGUGAGAAUGACAUAUUUUGCUUCAAUACAGUGCACAGGAGCCGAAAAGUUCGUCGUAUUAAUAGCAACCAUUGCGAGAGAAAUGAUCCAUAGGAGUUGCUCAAAGAGCAGAUCCAUAAAUUAAAGCAUGAAAGGAAAAGACAAUCAUACCAUCUAAGUGCUGGGCAGAGAGAACGCAUCCAUGGAAGCAGAGGAGCAAUGCCAAUACAAUGACAGCGAUGGAGGAGCAGCUACGACGACCCAUUUUAAUUUGCAGGUUCGUGUAUGAAUGUAGAGACAAGUAUUGCUAGCUAGCAGCUAUUUAUAUGAGGGAGAAAGCCGACAAGAAGCAUUACUGGGUUGAUUAGUUUUCUCCGAAAUGGAAAGUUCCUGGAUCGAUCUGGUAUCUAAGUCAGAGUAAUUAAUGGUUUUUUCUGCAGUAUCGUGAUUCGUGCAAUGGCAUUGGGGCGGCAAAAGGCAUCUUAUUGCGAUGUUCUAAGUCUCAUGGCCAUGUGAUGCUGCUAAUCUGUGUAGGGAAAUGAGGAGAACAAGUGUGUGUGCAACACGAUUCAGAAUCACGAAACCUCCCAUUAAUAUAUUAAUCAGUGUGAUGCAGCAGGCUAUAUAUGAAAAUGAUGCAGCGGUUGUAGAUCGAAUACGAAACACGCACAAAAACAGGAUUUACGUGAUAUCCUCGAUGAAAAUUGUCGAGACUAGUCCACGGCACAACAGCCGAAAGUAUCUUGUUAGAAUUCAAUUAACCCUGCAACUCGGGUUCGGCUGCUAUGUCUCGGCCAAGGCAGCCCUAAUGCUAGUCGUUACCAUAAUUACAAUUAGGUACCCAAACUUCUAACAGCGAUAUGGUGAUAUAUAUACUAUGAACGACACAAAGAAUAUUAUUAUUAAGAGUUGGAAAUUAUUUGUGCGAUGUUGUGGAACGUAACCAAGGUAAAAUUUAUUUAUUGCCAAUCAAAUAAAUAUAUGAUAAUCACCGAAAACUAAUAACAUCAAAAAAUUUAAAGAAAUUAAUAAGCUGACAGUUGGACAGUGAUGUGGCGAAGUGGUGAUGUGGCGGUGUGAGGUGGUUGGCUAAUGUGUCAAUUUGGAUGGAAUGAUGGAUGGAAGUGGAUGAAGUUUAAUAAAGAUUGUACCUAAAAAUAUAUUAAUUAUAAUUAUAUACAAUCUAACUAUGUUUUGUUAAAAAAUAUUUCAAAUAAAUAGUGUUCUAAUUCAUUACAACUUUCGGCCAAUCGGCCGGACACGAUUUAAUAUUUUUUAUAAUUAUUUGAUCCACCACAAGUCCUCAAUAUCAAGCAAAGCACAAAAUACUAAUAACGUGUUAGUGAUUAAUACAAUCAAGCCCUUGAAGGGACAACUUUGACUUGGUCAACAACAGGACCACAAAACGAGACGAAAUCAUCCCUCCUGUUAUGAUACUGCCCGCUGAAGAAGGUGACCCUAGUCCUGUUCGAGACCGCUACGAACUUAAACGUCACCGUCUUAUACUCCCCUUUCCCCUUUGACUCGAACG
rnacentral:lncRNA from 1 species